GGGUGAGUAACACGUGGGUAACCUGCCCUAAAGUCUGGGAUACCACUUGGAAACAGGUGCUAAUACCGGAUAACAACAAUAGCUGCAUGGCUAUUGCUUAAAAGGCGGCGAAAGCUGUCGCUAAAGGAUGGACCCGCGGUGCAUUAGCUAGUUGGUAAGGUAAUGGCUUACCAAGGCGACGAUGCAUAGCCGAGUUGAGAGACUGAUCGGCCACAUUGGGACUGAGACACGGCCCAAACUCCUACGGGAGGCAGCAGUAGGGAAUCUUCCACAAUGGGCGAAAGCCUGAUGGAGCAACGCCGCGUGAGUGAAGAAGGUUUUCGGAUCGUAAAGCUCUGUUGUUGGUGAAGAAGGAUAGAGGUAGUAACUGGCCCCUAUUUGACGGUAAUCAACCAGAAAGUCACGGCUAACUACGUGCCAGCAGCCGCGGUAAUACGUAGGUGGCAAGCGUUGUCCGGAUUUACUGGGCGUAAAGCGAGCGCAGGCGGAAAGAUAAGUCUGAUGUGAAAGCCCCCGGCUUAACCGAGGAAUUGCAUCGGAAACUGUGUUUCUUGAGUGCAGAAGAGGAGAGUGGAACUCCAUGUGUAGCGGUGGAAUGCGUAGAUAUAUGGAAGAACACCAGUGGCGAAGGCGGCUCUCUGGUCUGUAACUGACGCUGAGGCUCGAAAGCAUGGGUAGCGAACAGGAUUAGAUACCCUGGUAGUCCAUGCCGUAAACGAUGAAUGCUAAGUGUUGGGA
rnacentral:rRNA from 1 species